GACUUGUUCUUGCCUUCUAAAGCAGAGAGGAGCUUUUGUGGGUAGUUCCUACAGGGAUACAUGGUAGAAAAUUCACCAAACCCAGUGCUGGAGUGACAUGCUCUGGAGUCAGAAGACAGCGAAAAGAGAAGCAGAAGCCCCGGUGGCAAGAGUCUGAAGCAGGAAGGAUGACUGUAGCCUGUGGAUUGUACUGCAGUAGGAAACUGUCCUAGCAAGGCUCCACUUUGCCCCAGCUUCAAGCUGGAAAGGAGGAGAACAUGAAACAUUGCUUGAAGACAAUGGCCGAGACAGCAGGUCCCACCCUGCACAGCCACCAGCAUCUCUCCCCUCAGCCCUGUCUCCUCUUCUGCAGUUGGGAUCUGCACAUUUAAGCCUGAAAUUGUCCUGUGAAGUGAAGUAUGAUCGGACAGCCUCUUUUCAGCUUUUAUGACAAUGGAGACAGAGGAAUUGUGGCUCUUGCCAAGGUCACAGGAUUGGAAUACAGAGCCAAGCCACCCCAGGACAUGCAAGAGCCUCAGAAGGGAAAAAAGCCCAGCAGGAAGGGAGAACAAGUAGCCUCUGUCCUGAAGUUGUAACAGCCAGGGGCCAGGAUGGAGGAGGAGGACCCCAUAAUCUGCCCAUCUGGGACUUGGCAGGGGACCUGGGAAAAUGUACCCCAACCCAUCCCUUAAGGGCCUUUGUCUUUGGCCCAUUGGCCUAGCAUCUACUUCUUCACCGUGUCUGUUCUUGUCACACCUAGUCAGGUCUGUUUGGGUCUGAGGUGCAUGGAACAUUCUGGGUAGGCCUCCAGCAAACGGAAGCUCUUCACCGUGUUUCCAGCCUGGGACCAAGGGCAGCAUACUGGCAAAGUUGCCAAAGCAAGGGACUCCAGCCUCUUAGGAGUUAAUGACUCCCUCUCCCCAGCUGUCCUCCCCUUGGUGCUCCUCUUCCUCCCUCCUCCUGCUCACAGCAGGCAGGGCCUAGACCCGGGAGCCAUGCUGCUGUGCUGUUGCCAGGGGAGCACGGAGGCAGAUCUGAGCUAUGCAGGGAAAAGGCCCAGCCUGUCAAAGUGUCUGAGAUGAACCGCCGCCGUCCCUGUGCAGCUGGGCUCAGACGUGUCUCAGCUCUUGUUCUGUGCCUGAGAAUGGCGAAACCCAGUGAGGUUCAAGGGCAAACUCGCUAUUCAUUAGUCAGGGGUUCUUGACGUCCCGUCUCUCCCAGGGAUGAGUUCCCCCCUCCUCUUUCUCCCCCUCCUAUGACACAUUCCUGGGUGCCUUUGGUGAGGACUGCACACCCUCCUCCUGCCUAGCCCCCUCUCCAAAGGCCCCUGAAUAAACUCCCCCCAAGGAGACCAGGCAGGGCAGAGACAAUGGCUGCAGGAAAUCAUUCAGGCGGGACAUGCUGGCCUGCCCUCCACCCAGUCCCCCUGUGGGCCCCACUCCCUUCUGAUUCAGGGCACCCUUGGGCCCCCAGCCUAUACAGGCCUGGACAGGAAGAAACCACUGGGAACCACCCUAAGGACAACAUGCUAGUCCAGUGCCAUUCUUCGCUGGCUCUGUGGGUGCCUUUGUGGCCUGUACCGACUGGCUGGCUAAUUUUGUGGUUUCUGUACCAUCACAUGCCUAUUUUAAGACACUCUCCAGCACUGUCGGUUAGGGAGUGUAAAUUUUGCAAUAUUUUCUGAAAUGUGGCAAUAUCAAAAUGUAAAAGGCACACAUACUUGGUCACAAACAAAUGGCACUAUUUACUCUGUGGGCAUAUUUGUAAAAGUUGCCAAAGAAUUAUAUACAAGGAUGUUCAUCAGAGCAUUUCUUUUGAAGAGUAAAGAAAUGGACAUGAACCUGUGGUCCGUUCAUACGGUGGAAUACCUAUGCAGCUGUAAAAAUCAGUGUGGUAGAUCUCCGUAUAUGAGUUGAUGUGGAAGGUUGGCCAGUUCACAUGAUAAGGUGAAUAGAAUAAGUUACAGAACAGGCUGUAGAGUAUGAUCUUAUUUGUAGAUGUUUAAAACUGAGUCAUAAGUAUGCUUAUAUACAGAUCGUUUCUGGAAGUAUGUACUGGAAGUCUACCUCUGGGGAGUGGGGAUGGGGGAGUGCACUCUUCUAUACUGUUAUAUUUUCUUUUCAUGCUCCUAAGGUACUUUUAUUGGAAGAUGUAAAGCGGUUCAAUGUAAUAGGCUUAACUUCUGUCAACUAAGUUGGCGUGGGUGCUUUAAGAGGGUGGUAGUGAUGUUGCUGGAGAAAGUAUCCCACAGUCACUGGUGGCUUCAGCCACGGGCCAUUUUGGGGCCUAAUAAUCACAUAUCAUCAUGGUUGCUAGUGUUAAUCGAAAACCUACUAAGUGCCAGGCUUACUGUCUCUGGGUCUUGCUUACGUGGAUGUCAUUUUUCCAGUUGCACCAAAUCGAAAGAGGUUAAUUGGUUUGUUGGAGUUCCUUUGUAGGUGAAGGGCAGAGCCAGGAGCUUGGCUAGGGACAGGGGAGGUGAGUGGGGGAUGGUGGAUAGGUCUUGGCUCCCAGUUUCCUUCUGGGCAGACAUUGCCCCUCUGCCCUGAGGACCUGCUUGUUUGGGGGAAGAGGCCUUUAGAGGCACCAGGGUCAUGCCAGGUGUUGGACAUGGUGAACUGGGAAGUGCUCCCAUCUGGCCACAGCGCAGAAGUAUCACCGUGCUGGGGGAUGGGGAACAGGGCUGUGAAUGGGCCUAUUUGCAUAAGCAGCAUGUGUCUGGAGAGAAAGACAUCACAGAGCAGAAGAGUGCGGGUGCCCAGGAGUGCACUUGCCACCCCUACUUCAUCCCUGAAAGAGUAAAUGGCCUGGAAGGUGUCUCUGAGAGGUAAUGCCGCACACCACCCUCCCUGGGGGCAGGGUCAGGCUACACCUGCCUUAGGUCGGGGGCUGCAGCAGCCUGAGAGCUCUCAGUAGGGCCUCAGUAGCCUGGGAGGGAGCAGGGGCAGGGGGCAGGGAAAGAGGCGUAAUGGGGCUGUCCAGAGGGGCCUGGGAAACCUGGUCCCUGAGGCCUGGGCACAGCUACAAUCACUUCAAAUUGGCUGUGGGGCCAGUGGACUGGGAAGGAAAAAAGCAAUAAGAGUGACCAAGUGCAGAAGGCUGUCAGGUCCCAGGUCACAUGCCUUAGUGCAGUGACUCCUCAUCAUUUUAUGGGGUGUGGGUGUCGUUGGUACACCCAUUUUACAGAUGAGGACACCGAGGCCCAGAAAAGUUAAGUUACAUGUCCUAAGUCACACAGCUUGUAAGUGCCAGAACUGAGAUCAAAACCAAGUCUCUUUGACUUUAAAGUCUGUACUCUGACCCCAAAGAGAUCCUGUUUGGCCACUUAUAGGAGGUCCCUAAAGCUGCAGACUCCCCUUGCCGGCACCCACAUAUAGAGACAUUAACCCUUCCCCUGCAGGGUCACCUCAAAUAGUCUUUUAGCUGGGCUUCUCCUGCAAUUCCACCUAAUGCCAUCCCCUGGGUUUUGCCCAAACCUGAACUGGGCAGUGGGGUGAGAGGAGGGGUUUACAGGGUUACAGAGCCUCAUACAGAUAGGAGCCCAUGGCUGCUGGUCAUCUGCAUUCCUGCAGGAUUGGCUGUUCCUUGGGGUCCUUGGCAGGAAAAUGAGGAUUGCUCCGAGGCCUGCUCCAGUACUUCCCAGAGGCUGGCCUGGUGUGGGGCUCUGGGAAGGCUGAGGCUGGAGAAGCGUAAGUAGGAGGGCAGAGAUGGCACUCAGGUAGCUUGAAUCACCAGGACCCUUCCAAGCCCCACAGGUUCUGAGGGAGUACUAGGGCCAGCUCUGGGAGAGGUCUCUUCCUAUGCUGUGAACCCCCUGCCUUUCUUGCAGCCUACAACGAAUAAAUUUUCUUUGCAAAGGCUU
rnacentral:lncRNA from 1 species